UGGUGGAGUGAUUUGUCUGGUUAAUUCCGAUAACGAACGAGACUCUAGCCUACUAAAUAGACUUUCUGUCCAUUCUUUGUGCAGAAAGAUACUUCUUAGAGGGACAAGCGGCGUUUCAGCCGCACGAAACGGAGCAAUAACA
rnacentral:rRNA from 1 species